GACGAACGCUGGCGGCGUGCUUAACACAUGCAAGUCGAACGGAAAGGCCCUGCUUUUGUGGGGUGCUCGAGUGGCGAACGGGUGAGUAACACGUGAGUAACCUGCCCUUGACUUUGGGAUAACUUCAGGAAACUGGGGCUAAUACCGGAUAGGAGCUCCUGCUGCAUGGUGGGGGUUGGAAAGUUUCGGCGGUUGGGGAUGGACUCGCGGCUUAUCAGCUUGUUGGUGGGGUAGUGGCUUACCAAGGCUUUGACGGGUAGCCGGCCUGAGAGGGUGACCGGCCACAUUAGGACUGAGAUACGGACCAGACGCCAACGUGGGGCAGCAGUGGGGAAUAUUGCACAAUGGGCGGAAGCCGGAUGCAGCAACGCCGCGUGCGGGAAGACGGCCUUCGGGUUGUAAACCGCUUUCGCCUGUGACGAAGCGUGAGUGACGGUAAUGGGUAAAGAAGCACCGGCUAACUACGUG
rnacentral:rRNA from 1 species